rnacentral:rRNA from 1 species
CUGCUGCCUCCCGUAGGAGUCUGGGCCGUAUCUCAGUCCCAAUGUGGCCGGCCAACCUCUCAGUCCGGCUACUGAUCGUCGCCUUGGUGGGCCGUUACCCCACCAACUAGCUAAUCAGACGCGAGGCCAUCUUUCGGCGAUAAAUCUUUGACAUUCAGACCAUGCGGCCCAAAUGUAUCAUGCGGUAUUAGCAGUCGUUUCCAACUGUUGUCCCCCUCCGAAAGGCAGGUUCCUCACGCGUUACUCACCAGUCCCG